GAAGGUAUAGCUCAGUGGUAGAGUUUAUGCUUAGCAUGUAUGAGGUCCUGGGUUCAAUCCCCAGUACCUCUG
rnacentral:tRNA from 1 species